rnacentral:rRNA from 1 species
CCUACGGGAGGCAGCAGUGAGGAAUAUUGGUCAAUGGACGAGAGUCUGAACCAGCCAAGUAGUGUGAAGGAUGACUGCCCUAUGGGUUGUAAACUUCUUUUAUAUGGGAAUAAAAUGUUCCACGUGUGGGAUUUUGUAUGUACCAUAUGAAUAAGGAUCGGCUAACUCCGUGCCAGCAGCCGCGGUAAUACGGAGGAUCCGAGCGUUAUCCGGAUUUAUUGGGUUUAAAGGGAGCGUAGGUGGAUUGUUAAGUCAGUUGUGAAAGUUUGCGGCUCAACCGUAAAAUUGCAGUUGAAACUGGCAGUCUUGAGUACAGUAGAGGUGGGCGGAAUUCGUGGUGUAGCGGUGAAAUGCUUAGAUAUCACGAAGAACUCCGAUUGCGAAGGCAGUUCACUGGACUGCAACUGACACUGAGGCUCGAAAGUGUGGGUAUCAAACAGGAUUAGAUACCCCAGUAGUC